UCCUAAUUUUCACAUUGUUGGC
rnacentral:siRNA from 1 species